GUUCUCAGUUCGGAUUGUAGUCUGCAACUCGACUACAUGAAGCUGGAAUCGCUAGUAAUCGUAGAUCAGCAUGCUACGGUGAAUACGUUCCCGGGUCUUGUACACACCGCCCGUCACACCACGAGAGUUUGUAACACCCGAAGCCGGUGGAGUAACCUUUUAGGAGCUAGCCGUCGAAGGUGGGACAAAUGAUUGGGGUGAAGUCGUAACAAGGUAGCCGUAUCGGAAGGUGCGGCUGGAUCACCUCCUUU
rnacentral:rRNA from 1 species